GGGAUGUGAUGAGUGGUUUGGACCUCGCUGAUAUUCUGCGAGUUGGGUGUCCGCCCCAAUGCCUGUGUUACGACAAAUGGGCACUCUCCUCUUCACCAAUCUGAUCCC